UACGUAGGUGGCAAGCGUUAUCCGGAUUUAUUGGGCGUAAAGGGAACGCAGGCGGUCUUUUAAGUCUGAUGUGAAAGCCUUCGGCUUAACCGGAGUAGUGCAUUGGAAACUGGGAGACUUGAGUGCAGAAGAGGAGAGUGGAACUCCAUGUGUAGCGGUGAAAUGCGUAGAUAUAUGGAAGAACACCAGUGGCGAAAGCGGCUCUCUGGUCUGUAACUGACGCUGAGGUUCGAAAGCGUGGGCAGCAAACGGG
rnacentral:rRNA from 1 species